UGAGGCAUCAUCACAAUGUGCUCCUGGGACACCCGACAGAUAUUUUUCGGAGCUGGCAUCAAACUCUUCGUGGAGUCCCGGAGUCAGCCUGUUGCCAAACCAUCUGUUUUCAUCAUGAAAAAUGAGACGAAUGUCGCUUGUCUGGUAAAGGAUUUCUACCCCAAGAAUAUAAAAAUAAGCUUUGAAUCACCCAAGACAAUAAAAGAAUUUGAGCCUGCUAUCGUCGUCUCUCCCAGUGGGAAGUACAGUGCUGUCAAGCUUGGUCAGUUUGAAGAUCCAAAUUCAGUGACAUGUUUAGUUCAACAUGAGAAUGAAAAGUUUAACUCCACGUACUUUGAAAAAAGUCAAAGAAGGUCAAAGAGAAGUUCAGGUGAUCCCGAACCAAUGAAACAUGAAAACUCAAAUAAAACUUCAGAGAUCUGCCACGAACCCAAAGUUCACGCCGAGAAGGUGAACAUGCUGUCCCUCACAGUGCUGGGGCUCCGAAUGCUGUUUGCCAAAAGUGUUGCCAUCAAUUUUCUCUUGACUGCCAAGUUAUUUCUCUUUUAAGGCUAACUGGCAUGAGAAGAUUAUACUCCCUGAAAGAAACCAAAAGCUACAGAAGUGCUGUCUCCUAGGCUUCCAAUUUCUUGGGGAUUCAAGUGGACCUGUCUCGGCCUUGCUUAAAAGACUGCUACCCAAACCAGUUUUCCUGUGAAGGCAACAAACCCAGCUCAUCCUGCAGCCUAGUGGAGAGACAAAGUCCAGGGGAGUGAGGUUAAUAGUCCUAACUGCUUUCUAUGCUGCUUUAAAAAGGGAUAUAGAGAUAUAAAGGGAUAUGGGGCUCAUUUUUUUGUUCCUACAACUGAUAUGCUUUGAAAGUUAUGUUUUGUUCCUUUGACUUUCUUUUGCCUCUAGAAGUAGAAAGUGGGAGCCAACGGGUUCCCAGCUCCAUUCUCCAAGAGGAAAACAGACCCUGGAGGAAGGAGAGCAGGUGUCCUUUACCUAAAUAUGAAAGGCUCUGCUCAAUCCAGCACUAGAUUUGCCCCAAAUUGGCAUCUUGUCCACAAAAGCACUUUCUGUCUUAGUACUUUAUAACAAAAUUACCUUUGACUUCCCUGAUACUCUCCAAGUAGGGAAUGGAGUUUCUAAAUUCUCAUCUAAAUUAACUCCCCAAGCUGUUAGCAGAGAGCAGAGUAAAACACAGAGGAAAUGCACUCCUUUCUCUUAAUUGAUUUAACAAACACGAAUUACUGCCUCUAUGUUCCAGGCACUGUGCUGAGGAUGCAAAGAUAGAUAAGACAUGGGCCUUGCUUUCAAGAACUCACUGUGCAAGUGUUUACGGAGGGAGAGAUAGGAGUGAGACUUCUAGAUUUCCCCUGUAAAAACAAUAUCUUUCUAUCUUUAGCCUACCAGUCUGUGAACUGGGAGUUUGAAGUCACUGGACAUUGACUUUUGCCUGGGCCUCUGGUGUUGACAGUUUUCUGGCUGUUCUUCUCCAAUGCUGCCUGUUGCGUUUAUUAAAGUGCAUUGUAUGUGCCUCA